rnacentral:lncRNA from 1 species
CCUACCGGCUAAUUCGCCGAACUUCGGCGACUUGAAAACGAUUCAGAUAAAUCGAAGUUCGGCGUUUGGUACCGGGUAAUUUCCGAUGUUCAUUGCAAUCUGGAUGAAAAUCAAUCCAUAGAUAAUAAUAGACAUAUUAGAGGGGUGCAUGAUUGAACGAAUGACUUUUGGUCUUGCGUUCCGUUGAGACAUUUGGUAAACAUUUAAUAUUUUAUAUCAUUAUGAAAUUAAAAAAUACAGACUAAUUUUGUAUGUUAUUUUUAUUAAUUGAUAAUAUUUUUAGUUAAUCACUUUGUAAAGUCUUACAAAUGUUUAAAACAAAAGGAAAAUGCAACGACGGAUUUUUCUUUUGCAACUGAAGUAAUGAAACGCAAAAAAAAAAGAAAAAUGACGUUAUGUUAUAUCAGCUGACAUACUUGAAUUCGCGCCGAAUGCAACAGUUUUAUCUUCUCAGAAUUUAUACAAUAACAACAAUAACGAAAGAAAUAUCACCGAUUUACUACCUACUAGAUCUAGAGAGUCGGAGGCUAGACAUGGAGGAGCGACUUGUUUCAGCAGUCGACAAGCUGGCUGGCUACAGCUGCUGAAGCUAAUAGCAAGGCCGCAGAUAUGCAAACAGAGUUGCUUCGGCUGCUGCUGGAGGAAGUUAGGUGAAGACCAAUAUAAGGUUAAAGAAUAGCAGCAUGACAAUUCUCAAGAACGAAGACACUAGAGAAACUAAGUAAAAACAUAUGUAUUCAAUAAACUUGUAUGUAAAUAUUUAAGCUAAAGUAUAAGUACUCCAUUUAUGUUAUUUAAGUGAAGUUGUAUUUAAUUAAAAUACUUAAGUUUGGUCAUGUUAUUUAAGUGAGUUUGUCUAGGGGUAACAUUAAAGACAAAGAACUAGAUAUCAUUUUUCCAAGAACUAUUUUGAAACAAAAAUAAUAUAGCAUCACGCUUCUAUUCCCGAAGGGGUAGGCAGAGGUGUAUAGUAUAUGUAUACACCCACUCCUAUAUGUAAUUUAAAUACUUAAGUUUGGUCAUGUUAUUUAAGUGAGUUUGUCUAGGGGUAACAUUAAAGACAAAGCAACUAGAUAUCAUUUUACCAAGAACUAUUUUGAAACAAAAAUAAUAUAGCAUCACGCUUCUAUUCCCGAAGGGGUAGGCAGAGGUGUAUAGUAUAUUUAUACACCCACUCCUUGCCAACUACUAUCUAAUAAAAAGAUUUGUAUAGGUGUAUUGAUGAAGAUAUUGGAUGCAAUUAACUUAUAUUUCCAUAUUAUAGUAAGAAUUGGGAACAAUAUUAUAUUUGUAGUAUGUUCUAAUUGAUUACAUUUCUUUGAUCCACCCGCAGGGCUUUUUUGAUUAUACUAUUACACAUUACAAAUAGUCUAGUCCCCAUAAGGCCCCGCAAGCUUGUAUUUAUACAAAAUAAAUGGAUUUAUUUAUUACAAGUUAAAGAUAGAUGGAUAAACUACUUUAUUAAGCACAAUGGACACAAGAUUAGAAAAAUGUAUCUACUUGAGAGAUAGGUUGGUUAAUGAGAGGGGUGCAAUGAAACAAAUUAUGUAAUAACACAAAAUAAAUAAAUCUGCGUAAUGAAAAUAGUUUAUUUGAUGCCAAUAAAGAAAGGUUUGUUU